GACGAACGCUGGCGGCGUGCUUAACACAUGCAAGUCGAACGGAAAGGCCCUGCCUUUGUGGGGUGCUCGAGUGGCGAACGGGUGAGUAACACGUGAGUAACCUGCCCUUGACUUUGGGAUAACUUCAGGAAACUGGGGCUAAUACCGGAUAGGAGCUCCUGCUGCAUGGUGGGGGUUGGAAAGUUUCGGCGGUUGGGGAUGGACUCGCGGCUUAUCAGCUUGUUGGUGGGGUAGUGGCUUACCAAGGCUUUGACGGGUAGCCGGCCUGAGAGGGUGACCGGCCACAUUGGGACUGAGAUACGGCCCAGACUCCUACGGGAGGCAGCAGUGGGGAAUAUCGCACAAUGGGCGGAAGCCUGAUGCAGCAACGCCGCGUGCGGGAUGACGGCCUUCGGGUUGUAAACCGCUUUCGCCUGUGACGAAGCGUGAGUGACGGUAAUGGGUAAAGAAGCACCGGCUAACUACGUG
rnacentral:rRNA from 1 species